GACGAACGCUGGCGGCGUGCCUAAUACAUGCAAGUCGAGCGGAAGUUGGAGAGCUUGCUCUUCAACUUUAGCGGCGGACGGGUGAGUAACACGUGGGCAACCUGCCCUGCAGAUCGGGAUAACUCCGGGAAACCGGUGCUAAUACCGAAUAGUUUUCGCCACCUCCUGGUGGCGUACGGAAAGACGGUUUCGGCUGUCACUGCAGGAUGGGCCCGCGGCGCAUUAGCUAGUUGGUGGGGUAACGGCCCACCAAGGCGACGAUGCGUAGCCGACCUGAGAGGGUGAUCGGCCACACUGGGACUGAGACACGGCCCAGACUCCUACGGGAGGCAGCAGUAGGGAAUCUUCCGCAAUGGACGAAAGUCUGACGGAGCAACGCCGCGUGAGUGACGAAGGUUUUCGGAUCGUAAAACUCUGUUGUGAGGGAAGAACAAGUACCACUUAACUACUGGUACCUUGACGGUACCUCACCAGAAAGCCACGGCUAACUACGUGCCAGCAGCCGCAGUAAUAC
rnacentral:rRNA from 1 species